rnacentral:piRNA from 1 species
UCCCGAUUGUGAUUUGAAUGG